ensembl:lncRNA
CCUCACCCAGCCAGGGCAGGACAAAGGGAUAGCACAGUGGAGGUGGCUUUAAAUCAGGACCUGAAGAAGAGGUGGAGAUGCCAGGCUGCCAGAGAUUAAGGGAAAUGCCACUGUUUUCCUCAGCAUGUAAGAAGCAAAGCUGAUCAGCCUGAUUCCCGUAGAUGCUGUGGAUUCCCUGGAAGGCCUUCUUUCUGACCCACUGAGACUCUGGCUGUUCAAGUUUUCUCUGCACCUGAGCAGAUGUUUCAGGAAGAUUCACAGUGAGCAGAAAGGGCACUGAGUGGGAUCUUGGAGACUGUUCCUGUCACUACAUUCAGAGCUAACGCAUCCCCCAACUGGAGCUACAUAGUAUUCCACAGUACAGAAAC